rnacentral:lncRNA from 1 species
CUUUGGUAUAGAAAAAAAAAAACUUUAAAAGACAGUCUGAAGACUAAUCCCAGGUGUGCACCUAUUUGAGCAGCUCUUGAGAUGGAAACUUUUAUCCCUCAAGCUACAGCAUUGGAGAGCUUCUAAAGAUACAGAACACUGGGAUCCAUACCCAGACCUACUGACCAGAUGCCUCCAUAAGUCCCCGAAGGAAUAUCAUUUGGCAGCCACUGAUAUAGGCUACUAUUUUUUGGUCUGUCCUGUGGAAACAGCUUGCAAUCCUCACAAGAACCUCGUAAUGUGAAUAUGCCAGCGUGUUGCUACAGACCGUGCUUACUUCAGCCAUUAUAUCAUUAACUUCAAUCAAUAAACAAGAGAAACAGCACCAAUUUCAGAGGAUGAUGUCAUUGGACAACGACUCCAUAAUACAUGCCAGUUAUAGUAGCAUCCCCACAGAUCCAAGCUUAACUGUUCUCAAACUG